AUCAAAGAGAUGAGCAAGAUGCUUAAUUUACAAUUUUCAUCAUGGUAUGCCUAUAAUAGUUACUCGUCGGCAGCAGCAACAAGGGACGGAAGUGUAAACGUAGCAUUAGUAAGGUUGUGUUCAAGUGACAAAAAAGUUCAAGAUCAAAGAAACAGAUCACGGGUGGAUGUGUUUUUCAAAUAUGGAAUAUUAAAUUUGUGUUUUAGUGGCAAAGAUCAAGCACAACAUACAGAUCAUGGACAAAGGUGUUGUUAGAUCUGGAGCACAAACGUUGCAGGUGGAUGUUGCACACAACCUGGCACUCCAGUAUAAAAAGCACCAGAAGUGCUUUUGUCAGCCUCAAAAGCUACAGAUGUAUGGAGUUUAUCUGCUACUGUGGUGGAUCUUCUUUCCGACGAAGUGAUCUGGAAGGAAUCAAAUGACGCAAAAAAAAAACGGAAGUACUUUGGAAAAAUACAUCUAUGAGUCGAUGCAAACUAAGAAACAGCCAGACGCACUUAAAAGUCUUGAAUGUAAAGAUCUACCUGUAGAACGAAGGAAGUGUUUCGAAUGGUUUGAACUACAAACAAUCUGCAAAACCAUCUGCAACAAAUAUCUGUCGAAUUUCAGAGAAAGCUUAGAAGACUAGGAGGUUUCUUUGCAGAACUGCCUUUUCAAAGCGCAAGAAUGUUUAACCGAGCGAUCCGACUUUUCUCUUUCCGACAAAUAUCGUUCCGAGAGACUAGCAAUAUUCAGCUUUUAGAAUAUGUCCAAACUGUAGUGAAUUCGGUCUUUUCAAUUAUUAUUAUUGACAUAGUAAUGUUUUGACAUUUUUGGCAUAGGAAGUGACCCUUUACACACCUGUUUCAGGCUUUAUGAUUGAUCACUAAAUGAUGCUAUAUGUGCACAACUAUGUUAUGAAACGCAACUUAUUUUCUGAUUUUUCUAAGUUUCGUGAUGAUUUGAAAUUUACAUAUUUUAGUUAAAAAGAAGCUCAAGUACAGCUUUGUAUUUGCCUGUCGAUUGUUGUGUGUUAUAAAACGCAAUAUAUUUGAUGUUUCUUUGUAAA
rnacentral:misc_RNA from 1 species